rnacentral:lncRNA from 1 species
AAAAAUUGUAUGAAUAGAAAUACAGAUAACCAAAAUAUAAGAUUUGAUCUACAAUGACACGUGGGCCCCAAUUGACCAAGAGGAUGUAAGACUGUGAACUUUUACUUUCUAUAAUGCAGUUCCGAGCUUAGUUCUCGUCCUACUCGACUAUCUACAAAUUGUCCUGAGUCUGAAAAAUGUAUAGGAAGAAGGGGUGAGAUUUUAUAAUCCCAGUGAGUAAACAGAUACCAUCUAAAGUAUCUAAAACCGAGUAAAUGGAGACAAUAAAAUAUCCCAUCCCAAUAUGCAUUUCAUAACUUAGAAAUUUAUUCCAUCCCAUGAAAACAAUUAUAAUUCAAUUAAAAUGAUUUUCAAGGCUUAUUUUUCUCAUAAAAUUUGGCUCAUGCCAAACCUCAUACUCGGUGAUACCUUACGUAAGGCAUCCAACUGAGUCCGCCAAGGCUGUUAAAAUUUUGUAUACACGUAAAACAUAUCUUUAGUUUGAAAAACACAUCCAUUCCUUGGCGUUGGCUGAGUUCCCCUUCACGUGGUGGUUUAGCGUGAAGUGAACCCUAAGCUUUAUCCCAGGAGAUACCUUACGCGCCUCUCCAUUCGAGGUAAGAAUAUAAUGGAGUUUACCGUGCCCCUCUAAUAGACUGAUCCACGGAACCCCCUCUGCAGUGAAUAAUUAAUAUAUAAUCUACCAAUUCAAUACAAUUCAAUAACAUGAUAUGGCAAUUUAUCACAACCUAGCCUUUCAAGGCUGAAUACACAGUACAAAUAAUUCUAACACCAAAAUCAGUUUAGCCAUUCAUGCUCAUAUAUUGUCAUAAGCCAUUCAAUUUAAAACCAUAAAUUUACAACACAAGCGGCCAGUCUCCAAUUACUCUAUUUUCAAAACCAGUAUUCGAUUUUCCAGAAAAUUUAUAAAAUCAUUUUAUAAAAUCACAAUUUCUCCUAAAACAUAGCAAUUUACCAUUUAAACCCAUUUUUCAUAAAAUCACACAAUUGUAUAAAACUACUCUAGAUAAUUAAGACGAUAAUAAGUUUACUCANNNNNNNNNNNNNNNNNNNNNNNNNNNNNNNNNNNNNNNNNGGUGUCCGACCUAACUCGCCUAUACACGGUGUAAAUUCCUAAAAUCCCCAAUUCAACUCCAAUUCCAUCCAUUUCAAUUUCAAUUAUCCAAUUAUAUCCACAAUACCCCAAUGACUGUGAAUUUGAUCCAAUUUAUUAGUCCAGACUAUAAAUUACGCUUUUACCCCUAGUGGGUAAAAAUUCAAUUUAUUGCACCGAAAAUUCUCAUUUAAUUUCCAACCUCAUAAUUCAUCGUUUUUCCACCCAAUUCUCUUAAAAUAAAGUCAACCUCAUCCUCACAUACCAUUGGCUAGAUUUGGCCUAGAGAAAUUCAAGGAGAAAAUAAAUAUUUUUCUUGUUGUUUUACUCAUAAACAUGCUAAACUAACGCUAAACACUAACAUAUCUCAAAAUCAAAUUUAUCUAAUAAUUUUCUCUCUCUAAACCCAUAUGACCAGAAUUAAAAUCAUCCUCAAAUAACAUGAUUCAACCUUGGAAAAUGAUGGGAAAUGCAUGGGAAAGGUAAAGCACAAGACAAAUUUAAGAAAUGUUACCUUUUUUUCACUUGAUUUUUGAAUUUUCACAUAUUUUCCCUUUAAA